rnacentral:rRNA from 1 species
GUCCACGCUGUAAACUAUGAUUACUCGUUCUCGGCGAUAUACGGUCGGGGACUAAGCGAAAGUGAUAAGUAAUCCACCUGGGGAGUACGAUCGCAAGAUUUAAACUCAAAAGGAAUUGACGGGGGCCCGCACAAGGCGGUGGAGCAUGUGGUUUAAUUCGAUGAUACGCGAGGAACCUUACCAGGACUUGAACGCAUUUUGACAGAUUGAGAAAUCAGUCGUUCUUCGGACAAUUUGCGAGGUGCUGCAUGGCUGUCGU